rnacentral:rRNA from 1 species
AGAGUUUGAUCCUGGCUCAGAACGAACGCUGGCGGCAUGCCUCAUACAUGCAAGUCGAACGAGACCUUCGGGUCUAGUGGCGCACGGGUGAGUAGCGCGUGGGAACCUGCCCUGGAGUGGGGGAUAACCGAGGGAAACUUCGGCUAAUACCGCAUGCGCCCGGUAGCAAUACCGGGGAAAGAUUUAUCGCUCUAGGAGGGGCCCGCGUCGGAUUAGCUAGUUGGUGGGGUAACGGCCUACCAAGGCUAUGAUCCGUAGCUGGUCUGAGAGGAUGAUCAGCCACACUGGGACUGAGACACGGCCCAGACUCCUACGGGAGGCAGCAGUAGGGAAUAUUGGACAAUGGGCGAAAGCCUGAUCCAGCAAUGCCGCGUGAGUGAGGAAGGCCUUAGGGUUGUAAAGCUCUUUCGGCGGGGACGAUGAUGACGGUACCCGCAGAAGAAGCCCCGGCUAACUUCGUGCCAGCAGCCGCGGUAAUACGAAGGGGGCGAGCGUUGUUCGGAAUUACUGGGCGUAAAGGGCGCGUAGGCGGCCAUCUUUGUCAGGCGUGAAAGCCCCGGGCUCAACCUGGGAAUUGCGCUUGGGACGGGGUGGCUUGAGUUCGGGAGAGGAGAGUGGAAUUCCCGGUGUAGAGGUGAAAUUCGUAGAUAUUGGGAAGAACACCGGUGGCGAAGGCGGCUCUCUGGACCGAUACUGACGCUGAGGCGCGAAAGCGUGGGGAGCAAACAGGAUUAGAUACCCUGGUAGUCCACGCUGUAAACGAUGUGUGCUAGACGUUGGGAAGCCUAGCUUCUCGGUGUCGCAGCUAACGCGGUAAGCACACCGCCUGGGGAGUACGGCCGCAAGGUUAAAACUUAAAGGAAUUGACGG